rnacentral:lncRNA from 1 species
CAGAAGCCGGGCUUAGGAACCCAGGUGAGUAAACAACCAGUGGACUCUGCCUCCUCCACAGCCUCAGAGCUGGGCCUCCUUUCCCUCCACGGCCACCCCAUCUCCACCUCCAGAAGUAGCCUGGGAGCAAAGGAGGGAACACUGUAGGAUGCUUAGUGCCGAGUAGAUGACCGGCCUCCCUAUACCCCUGGACCAGAGUGACUGCAGUCUUCUUUUUCAGAUGGAAGUCUGGUCCCCAGGGGUGAAGGGGCACAUCCAGUCCACAGCGCUCUUGGCAGGAAGGUUGGCAGUGCAGGUUGUCUGGGGAUCCAAACCCAAGGCUCUUCCUUUGACUCCUCACACAGUGCUUCUGGGGCACACCACCAGCCUGUCGGUGAGGACUGUGGCAAGUCACCCACUGCCUCAGCUUCUUCAUCUGUGAAGUGGUACAGUCACGCCUGUCUAGAAACAACGGCCAGCCCUUUAGUGAGCAGUGUGCACCACUAGUGCAUAGACUGUGGUCUCUAUUAUUUUCCUUGAAAAAUACACAGCUGAUUCUGCUUCUGGGCUGAGAACGUACAAUAUGUACUGAGACUAUUUUCCACUGCCACAAAUCAAGGACAACAUUGUGUCAGAGGGACAUGAAGAGACUAUCGUUGGUCAAAGUCAACAAUUUGAGCACCGGGAUCAAAUAUACUGAAAUGUUUACAGAUGGAAACAGUAUGAUGUCUGGG